rnacentral:sRNA from 1 species
CUAUAUAUAUAGUGCAAGCUGCAAGCAAAUAAAAAGUCUUUGAAAGGUGUAGUAGUAGUAGUAGGUUUUUUUUUUAUAGAUGAGAUAUCAAACUUUGAAAAUAAAUAACUUUUCUGUAAGCGGUAGGAUGUCCGGAAAAAAAAUCGAUAGAUUUUGUUAGGGGAUCGUACUUUACCAAACCUCGGGAAUAGCGAUGUGAGAGAAGGAUCUUCUUAUUCUUACAAACCGCGACGGGUGUGGCUGGCUCAACCCUAUCCUUCUUGCUCCAAUCAAAUUGAUCACGCUUCUCAGUCCGAGAAGAAGGACAGGAAACCAAGUCUAUGCUAAAAAUCUUUUCCCAUGUGUCUUCUGAUGGUUUCAACCUCCAAAUAUCUUGGAUCAUAGUAUCUUUCUCCCUUUUCGACAUACACAAACUAUUAUCCAGAGUGCACAUGUCAAUAUGGUGAGGAUCUGAACCAGCAAUAGCCGGAUUAAUCUUAGGCAGCAACCGG